rnacentral:rRNA from 1 species
UAUCAAUAAGCGGAGGAAAAGAAACCAACAGGGAUUGCCUUAGUAGCGGCGAGUGAAGCGGCAAAAGCUCAAAUUUGAAAUCUGGCGCCUUCGGUGUCCGAGUUGUAAUUUGAAGAUUGUAACCUUGGGGUUGGCUCUUGUCUAUGUUUCUUGGAACAGGACGUCACAGAGGGUGAGAAUCCCGUGCGAUGAGAUGCCCAAUUCUAUGUAAGGUGCUUUCGAAGAGUCGAGUUGUUUGGGAAUGCAGCUCUAAGUGGGUGGUAAAUUCCAUCUAAAGCUAAAUAUUGGCGAGAGACCGAUAGCGAACAAGUACAGUGAUGGAAAGAUGAAAAGAACUUUGAAAAGAGAGUGAAAAAGUACGUGAAAUUGUUGAAAGGGAAGGGUUUGAGAUCAGACUCGAUAUUUUGUGAGCCUUGCCUUCGUGGCGGGGUGACCCGCAGCUUAUCGGGCCAGCAUCGGUUUGGGCGGUAGGAUAAUGGCGUAGGAAUGUGACUUUACUUCGGUGAAGUGUUAUAGCCUGCGUUGAUGCUGCCUGCCUAGACCGAGGACUGCGAUUUUAUCAAGGAUGCUGGCAUAAUGAUCCCAAACCGCCCGUCUUGAA